rnacentral:lncRNA from 1 species
UAUUAAUUGAGAAUUUAAGCAUAAAUUAUUGAUUCUCAAGUUAAAGGAACUGGAUUCAUUUAAUGUUGAUUCUCUUUCUUCAUUGAAUUACCUUAUCCUCUCAUUUCUUACUCUUUCUGAGUCUCUGUUUACUUAUCUGAAAAAUGACAGUAAGAAUAUUUGCUAUGGAUUAUAAUUAGUCUUUGGGUGGUGAACAUGACGUAAUCUAUGCAGAAUUCGAAAUAUAUUACAGUGUACACCUGAGAGUUAUAUCCUGUUAUAAACCGAUGUUACUGCAAUGAAAAAUAAAGAAUGUUUGCUAAUUUCAGAAUCUUUCUAUGUAGAACAACCAAUAAAAGCAUUGAAAAGAAACUAGAAGAAAAUAAUGAUCACGUAUCCCAUCAUGGAAAAAGUUUGUGACUCUCUCAAUGGUCCCUUCAGCUCUCUAUUAUCAAGCUGUUGAUUGGCAGGUGAAAAAUUAGCACCAGCUAACUAAACAGGAUAUCAUGGUAGAUGUGGCAUGGGACCAAGGAGACCAAGACAUGGUCCUUGUACUUACGGAACUGACACUUCUUCUUCCUGAGGAUUGUUAAGGGGUUGUUGUGAAAUGACAAGACUAUUCAGACUCAGAGCUGCUAGAUUUAUCCUCCUUGAAAUAGGAGUUCUGAUGGCAGAGUCUGAUGUGGGUCUCGCUGGACUGAAAGCACGGUGUUGUCAGGGCUGCCUUCCUUCUGGAGGCUCAGCUGAUCCACAGACAAUUCCAUCUGCAACCUUCCGUCCUCUCUGCCAUGUAACGAACACAUUCAUAGGUUUGGGGGUUAGGAUGUGGACAUCUUUGGAGGGGGGCUUUAUUCUGCCUACUACAUCAAUGGAAUAUUUUUUUCUCUAAAACAGGUUAAGCUGUAUUCUAAAUUGUGCAGCACAUUUGUGUUGGUUUUCUUAGCAAAGUCCUUUUCAAUUGAGUGAAAAAUUCAGGAUUAGUUAGUGGCAUUUUACUUUUUAUGUGUCUGUGGCCCAUCUGCUGGCCUGCAAUAAAGUAAAAGCGUAAUGUAGUUGAGUGAUGGUUUUUUUUCUCGCGGGAAACAGGAUCCUGUAACAGAGAUGUUUUGUGGGCAGUUUUAAGUUUGCUGUUUUUCUCUCCUCCAUCCCUUCCUCCUCCUAGUUGUUCACUUCUCUGCUUUUCCUUUCUGAGCUUCUCCCGAACAUGCUUCUAUAAUUUUUUCUCUUAUUUUUCGUCUCCAUUCUUGUUGCCCGCGCUUUUCGUUUUAUCUAUUUUACCGGAUUACUUCUACUCUUGGGUAGUAAGCGAAGCUGUGUCCCCUUGUUUUCUAGAUUUUAAAACUUGAUGGUUACUCCCUAGCUGAAUCUCCCUUUUCUGUUAAAAAUCUUCAUUUGGAAGUCUCCCUAAAGAACAUAAAACCUCAAAGUAGCCUAUAAAAAUUAAAGCAAAAAUAUACACCCUCAAAGUAGCCUUUGGGAAAAC